GCAAGGAAUUUUGUGCAAUGGGGGAAACCCUGACACAGCAACGCCGCGUGAGGGAUGACGGCCUUCGGGUUGUAAACCUCUUUUCUCAGGGAAGAAUAAUGACGGUACCUGAGGAAUAAGCUUCGGCUAACUACGUGCCAGCAGCCGCGGUAAUACGUAGGAAGCGAGCGUUAUCCGAAUUUACUGGGCGUAAAGUGGGCGUAGGCGGCCUUUCAAGUUGGAUGUGAAAUCUCCUGGCUUAACUGGGAGGGGUCAUCCAAUACUGCUAGGCUUGAGGACAGCAGGAGAAAGUGGAAUUCCCGGUGUAGUGGUGAAAUGCGUAGAUAUCGGGAGGAACACCAGUGGCGAAGGCGGCUUUCUAGGCUGUUUCUGACGCUGAGGCCCUAAAGUGUGGGGAGCGAACAGGAUUAGAAACCCUUGUAGUCC
rnacentral:rRNA from 1 species